CUUUUAUUCAUUAAAUUAAUUUGUGUCUUAUUAGCAUUAACUUUCCACAUAGUGGCAUUUAUUGUUAUAUCAUUACUUGACAAAAAAUAACACUUCAAUACAUAAUGAAAAACAGAAUUUUCAGAAUUAUAGUAUAUGUGUGGAAAUCAAACAUUAGCUGAAAUGAUAAAAAGGGGAAGUCUUCAUGAAAUAUCUGUACUAAAGUUAUAGUAAUGCUAAAUUCAGAAAUGAACCUCUUAAAAAUGAUCCACAGAGCAAAUGAUAUUUCAAUAGUAAAUACCACAAAGACCAAAGGAAAUAUAAAUCUAAUUCAAAAUUAUUCAAUAAAGGUCAGUAGGAAAUAGGGCAAAGAAAGAACAUCAGAUGAUAGGAAUUUUCAAUAAUUUUCUCAUCAGAAAGGUCAGAAUUAUUUUCCUAUUGUUCUUCAACACAUACACACACUUUUCAAUUAAAACUUGCAUGGUAGUGUUAAACAGAGAAGACUGCCACCAGCAAUUUUUUUAAAACUGAAAAAAAAUUUAAACUCUUUCAUCUUAAUUUACCAAUAUACACAAAGAACAGGACAUAAAGCAAACAAAUGAACAAGCAAUUCAACAAUAAAUAAGACAAAGUAAAGAUUUUGAUAUAAUCUCUCUUGCUUCGAUAAUAUCUCUCUCCUCAAAUGGCUUCUGUCAUCUUGUUGAAUGCUGCUUCUGUGUGGUUUUAUAAUGAAACAUAUUUUGAGUCAUGGAGCCCUUUCAGGAAGCAUCUAUAAAAACCAGGGAAAAUUAGUGAUUCAAUCAAAAUUUUUCAUAUAAAUUCAGGUGCACCAUGUAUAUUAUGAAACUACAUAAAUCUCUGAAUUAAAAGAAUUUACCAUGGUAUGAGAGGAAUUCUUCCUUUCUUUUUAGUCCUCUUUAUGCUUUGCAUUAAUUAUAAACAACUGAUGAUAACAGUGGAUCUAGGGCUUCCACAGUGCAUAUUGAUCUAUCUAAUUUUGAGCAUGCUUUGGUAACUGAUGUCACAAUGUAGUAUAGGAGUCACCUUGUCCUCCAUCACCCAAAACGUUGCUGUAAUAUGAGGAAGUGAAUAUAACCUGACAUUGUCUCACAUUUAGAUUGCUUGAAUACUUCAGAAUGGUCCAAAGAAUGUGAGAUAACUUUGACCCAAAGCUGUAGAGAUUACUUGCAAGAGACAACAGGUAAAAUGCUCAUCAUCAGAUUAUAGUGUUUGAAAAUACAGGAUUCAUAUGAGUAAAGUAUGUCAAAGGUUGAAAGAAUGCCAAUUUAGGAUAUAAUAACAAAAUUUAGUUUUGUGGGAAGUAUAAUGGUAUAUGAUAUAAUAGUAUGGUUUAAAUUCAUCAGGAUUUAAAAACUGAGAGUACCUUUGGACUUUUUAACAUCUUUAAAGUGGUCAGCCAGAAAAAUCACUCCUGGCAACCUCAGCAGUGAGGUCUUUUAAAAUAAUAAGUCUUCAUAAUACAUGGAGGAAUGUAGAAAUAAUUUGCUAAAAAGUAGAAACUACCAGAAUGAUGUCAAUUAAUCUGAAAUAUCUGUAGGACCUUAUGAGUAACAGACAGAUUCGUGAGGGCAGAGAGAAUGGAGUUCUGAUUACAAGGAAUCUAUUGAAUUAAAAUAAAAUAUAAAAUGCUAUUUCAGUUUAAAAUGCUAAAGGACUCAUAACCAUAAGAGAAUUGGGCAUCUCUAUGUAAUGUUGCUAUACAUAUAAAUUUGAUAAACUUAUAGAAAAUAAUUUGACUUUUUGCUGAAGAACCUUAGAAAUAUUCCUGUGGUAACUCCACUGAGAGAGUCAUAUUCCAAGGGGGUCAAAACAGUAAAUAUCCAUGUACAAAGAUAUUUACUAAAAUAUCAAGAGAAAAUAAUUUGCAAAAAUAAUCAUAUAAAAUAUCAGUUAAAAUAAUAGCAUACUUACAUAUGAACUAUACAUGGAAAAUUCUAACUAUAGAAUAUUAUUUUCAAUAGCAGUCAUUGAAGUAAAAACUGCAAUUUUAAACAGAAAAAAUGAGUUUCCUGGAUAGAGAAAUUCUUCUGCAAAAAAAAAGUGAAAGAAUCAAGGUUUAUUCCUUACCUUUGAAAGGUCAGUGUUGUUAGAAUAUAUAAUAUUGAUUGUGACACCUUAGUGAGGAUACCAAGGUCCCUUUGAGGACGAAAUCUUCAGUAUGAAAUAGGGGGGAAUUCUUUCCCUAGUCCUUGAAUUUCAUAGAAGAUGGCUUGUACCUGAAGAAGCAAGUAGUGUAUUGGGUUAGACAUAUUCCUAAGCAAAACAACCUAACAGUAUGAAGAUGUGCUUCAGAGAGAGAGAGAGAGAGAGAGAGAGGGAGAGAUUCAUGUACAUUCAAGUGCAAUUACAUGGAGAGCACAUAACUGUGGUGGUAUAAAAUAUUGUGGUUGAAAUAAUAUCAGGAGAGAGGAAUGUUUUUUGGUACAUAUAACAAACAAGUGUUGGAACUCUAUCAGAAAUCCCCACUGAUCAUCAGCAGAGACAGGAAAAUAUCACAUAAAUCAUCUGUUUGCAAGAAUAACAUUGUGAAGUGGUAAAAAUAAUGAAGAAAACAAAGAAUUCAGCCUGAUUGUGGCAUUAUCACAUUUUGAAGAUUUAUCAGCUGGACCUAAUAAGGCCCUGGCUCCUUGGAUCCAGUAAGUACCCAGGUUUGUUCAUUGUUUAACUUGUCAAUGGUGAAAUGUCUUACAAGAAGAAUUCUUCACAAUAAAUAAAAUGGGAGAAUACAAACAUAGUACUGUACUGGAGAGCGAUGUAAUUUUUAAAUUAAUGCAUGCUUUAAAUAUCUCCAUGCUUGCACAGAAAAAUAUAUUUAUAUUUGCAUUAUAGAACUUUAUAUAGAUUCUUUGCUGAAUGGAUAUAGUGAGAUGAGACCCAAAACAAGAGAAUCACAGUAUUUAUAUAUAAUAAUAAAGAGAAGACUUGACCUUGAGCAACUGAAAUAGAGAUGGAAAUUGGAAUAAUUUAGGAAUAGGUUAUUCAUCAAAUGUAGGUGAAAGAUGAUUAAAAAUAUAACCCAGAUUUCUAGAAUUGAAAAAUAGAAGCUAGUAGUAUAAACUUAAAUUUGGUAUUACUUAAACAUAGACACAAUUAGUGCCAUUUGGUAUGUAUUCAAUUAGAUGUACAUAUUGUAUAUCUCUGGGGGGAGAUAUCAAAGAAGGUCAACUCAUGAUUAUAUCAGCAUCUUUUUGAAAGAAAGCUAUGAUUUUGAUCAAUAAAUCUCAACUUCAACUUUUGCCUUCAAGUUCUGAUCUUGAAAUCACAGGUUUGGAAAUCAACACGUAUAAGGUCAUUGAUACCAGGAAAGUGGGUGAAUUUGUCAAGUGACAAGAACCACUGGUCUAGGUUAUUUGGUAAAAUACCAUUAUGCAGAAUAUGGGGAAAGACAAGUGUGGUCAUUUUUUUAAAAAAUUAAAAGUUACAACAAGGAGACAGGUAUAUGUAGAAUAGUCUUUUAAUAAAAUCAAAUGAAUUAAUAUCCAUUAGAUUUAAGACUUACCAUUUUUAUGACCUUUGUAAUGAUAGCAGCUUUAGCUGAAUGCUGAAAGCAGAAGUUGGGUUGCAGUGGGCUGAACGGUGAAUGAAAGGUUCAAAAGUGAAAAAAAGAGAGUCAAAGCUACUCCUUUCAAAUUUUAGAGAAGAAAUGUAAGAGAGCAACUUUGAAGUAGCUGAAACAAGUAAAGUUCUGUGCUAGCAUAUCAAAGUCAUGUUUUAUCUUCUGCCUAAAGACUUUCCUUUAAAGUAUAUUUAAUAGUCUGGCUAUUUGUCCAAGUUGAAACACAGUAAGGAUUACUCUUUGUGUUUGAAAAAUCAGUCUUUGAUAAGACUCUUUUAGACCUGUGAUUCUUACUUAUAUUAAAAUGUACAUAUUUCUUAAGUUACUUAUGUUCAACUGAAGCAAAAAUAGAACAUUUUUGUAGAAUUUGGAGGGUGUAUGUGAAGCAAAUGAAUUUCUCUGUAUUCUAAUCAUUCUUUAAAAACAUGACAGUUUUUUUUUUUUUUUUUUUUUGGUACUGGGGAUCGAACUCAGGUCCUUGCGCUUGCGCAGCAGGUGGCGAAACCACUGAGCUAAAUCCCUGGCCCACAUGACAGUUUCUUAUAUAAGAAUAAUGAUAUAUGCAAUAAUUGAUCCUACCACAGCAGUGGCAUCGACUUCUAGAAAUAUGCAACAACACAUGGGAAUAUAGGAAUGAUGCAUCUGAGAUAACCAAUCCUAAGGACAACAGACAACAUCACCAGUUCCAUCAACAUCAUAUCAAAGGAAAACGCAAUAAGGAUAGAACAUAGCACGUUUGGGUGCUGACAAUGUGUUGUUCCCUUCUUUGUGAACCAGUGAAGCAUAAAAUGACAAAAUGCAGUGAUAAAGAAAUAUGUAAUUGAACAGACAGGAACAGAUGCGCAGAACAGAAAGUGCUGACUUUACUGGUAUAGUACUUUUCAGUUGUUCCUGAACUCUGAGCAUAUUCAUAUCCUUGAGUUCCUUGCAAGCUCCAAUUCCCUGAAAUGCAUUUCCAUUUUACUUAAGCUUUUUUUUUUUUUUUUGAAUUGGAUUUCUUUCACUUGCAAUAAAAAUACACUGAUUCCAUCAGGUUUUCAGAGAAACUAUUUGGCAGAAAAAAGCACUACAAAAAAUGUGAAGUAAUGAAUAAAUAAAACGCCAAAGAAGAAAAUUUUAAGAACAAAUUAAAAAGCAAUGCAGAGUGGUUCAAACUGCCAAUCCUGGAGUCAGAUAUAAGUAUUUAAAGUGAUGCCAUAAGUGUGACCAUGCAUUCAUUAACCAACAGUUUUAACAGAGCACCCAACUCUGCUCUCAGGGAAGUGUACAUUGAGCACACAAUCUUUCCUUAUGUGAAACAUAAAGGCUGGUGAGAUGUCUAGCUUUACUCUGCCCAGGAUGCUUGAUAAGAAUUUAGUGUUAACUCUAUUAAUUAAAACCACAGCAAGUUAUCAGUAACGCCCCUUUCAUAGACAAGGUAAGAAUAUAAAAUAAAAUGUGACAGGAAAUGAGAACAUGAAAUAAGAUGUAACUCCUUAGCAAGUUGUUUGUCACAUGAGUAGUACUUAUUAAAUGUUAACAAGCAAAUAUUCUCAUUUCAACUCCUGGGGAAUUGGUCAAAGUUGUUUAAACUUUUGUAGUUUACUCUCUAUUACUUUCAUCCAAUGUUAUUUGUAACUACUAUAGUACAAUUUAGGGAACAAAAAAUUAAGGUUAGGGUAAAUAAAGAUUUUGAGAGUUAUAAAGGGAAAAAUUGUGAAUAGCUGUCACUAUGCGUGCUCUUCUGGGUGGUUUCUUUCCUGUUGUCUUGCUCAAAAUUGUAAAAGGAAUUUCCAUUAAAAAAGUGGAUAUACACAAAGAUGAUAUCACAUACAUUUUCAGGAACAAAUAUAAAGUCCUUGGUAAAAGCAUUGGAAGAAACCAACAAGACUAAAAAACAUAUGUCAAUCAGAGAUAAGGAGCUACUUGCAACUGAAGGUUAAAGCAUUUAAACCCUAAGAUCUGGAAAUACCCUGCCAGUACUAGUAUACUACCCUGGCAUUUAUCUUGUCAUUUAAAAUCCUCACAGCAUGGAACAUAUUGGGCUUAGUCUUCUUGCUCUAUAGGAGAUUGGAAGCAUAAUGGAAAAACAAAGAGGGAGAGAAGGAGAAAGAGAGACAGACAGCAGGAAGACAAGAUUGCCCUUAUGCUCACCAUGAGCAGUCUUGGGGCACAGCUAUAGAGACAUGGAAACAUAUGGACAUACAACCCCCAGCAAUCAUUUCUAUAUGUCAAUGUUGUGUGCUGUAUAAAUAGUUUGACUCUGAGACAGCUUCACUUAGUACACAUUACUUGAAUUUGAAUGAACAGAAUAGUUUCCUUUGAGAAUUAUUUUUCUGACAUUGAAUUGUGAGGAUUUAGUUCUCUUCACAGCCUAUUCUCCAAUUUUAGCUGCUUCCUCAUCUCUCCUUUGCUUUCUUUGCUCCCUACUCUUUUCCUCUGUUUCUCUCCCUCUCUUCUGCAUAUCCUUUCCCCAUAUAUACCUCCUCUGUUGUGUUACAUUAAAUUUACAAGUCCUUUUCAACUUCUUGGUAUUGAAUGUUUUUGGAUAAUUUGUAAAAAUUGCCACCCUGAAAAAUGAAUUCAUAAAAUUAUGUCAGCUAAUUAUUUCACAGGUAAAUGUUAAAAUACAGAUAAAUCACAUUUCUGAUUUUAAAAUCAUAUCUAAUGAAUAAAAAUAUAAUUAUAUACAAAAAGGCUUAUACCAUAUAUACUUAAAACUUAUUAAGUCUGCAAUUUCCUUUUUCUAGGCUUUUCUACACAUCUUUCAGUUUUUGACUGUUUCAACUUUGAAACUAAUAAAUGUGCCCCUGGCAUGGGUUUCUCUUUUUUAUGUUAAUUCAUUGGUUCACCUCCUCCUGGAACCUUUCCCUGGGGAUCCAAAGAUAGCACAUCUUUCCCUUUCCUAAAGGUUAAUACCAGGUACAGCUUCCCAUUUCUAACUCUUUAGAGGCAAUUAUUACUGAAUUGUUAAGAAGGCAAAUCAGACUAUUUAGCUUUAUUUUUCAGUCCUGGAACCUUAGUCUAAGUGUUCAAAAUUUCUAAGAUUCAGCUUCUACUUCUUUAUUUGAACAAUGGAAAUAAUACCAUUAUUCUCCUAUUCUAGUUGUGGCAAAAAUUAAAAAAUAAAAUGCAAAGAUGGUACAUAGCAUAGUGUCUGGCAUUGAGCAAACAUUCAGCAAAUAUUAUUAUUUAAAUUAUGUUAAUAGUUGCAGGAUUAAUUUCUUAAACAACAAAAAAAUAGAACAUAAACUCCUGAAAGGCAUAAAGAAUAUCUUCUCUAAACAGAUAUUCUUCUCUAAAGAAUAUCUUCUCGUAUCACCCUUAAAAUUUAACAUUUUACCUUACAUGUAAAGAGUAUUUAGUAAGUGAUUGUGAAUUUAUGUAUAGUCAAUAUUUAGCCUUUCAUUUAAAAAUUUUUGUUAAAUAUCUGCUAAGUGCUAGGCAUUCUUCUAGUAACAGGAAAAAUAAUGGCACAUAAUACAAGAAAUUUAGAAGUCAUUUAAACUACACACACACACACACACACACACACACACACACACACACACACGCAAAUUCCUUACUUUGAAUUGAACUGUAUCAUUCUUGCUGCAAUGACCAGCCUCUCCGUAAGUACAGCACACAACUCCGGAAUCACAAAAUGCGUAACUUAUUUUGUUAGAAUUGUAAAUAGACACACUGUUUCUUUAGUGAGAGCUAAGUCCCCAAAUGUCAUCAUGUCAUGAUGUAUGUUGAGUGUUUCAGGCUGCAGGGCAAGGGUCUUAAUCCCGAAUCAUCGUUCAUAUAGCAUACAGCUAUGUAACGCAGCACGUGCCAGUUCUUGGAAGUCUUGGGAGCAAUGUAGAAGCUGCUCAUCUAGGAUCAAGAAAAUUAAUUCGGCAACAUGAACGGAGUCCUGUGUCUCUGCCACCAAGUACUCAGAAUGAUCUCUUCGAAACAAGUUAUGCUUGAAUACAUCCUUGCUCACAAGUGUCCAGUUACUUUCCAUCAUAGUUUCAAAAAAGUCCAGAUCCUGCCUACUUUAGUCUUAUUCCAUACUAGUCUUCUUUCUUUCUCUGCAAACAUAAAUCCAUUAGAGAAAGGGAAUUGUUUUCUUCAUGUGUCAUCCCCACUUUGUGAAACACUGCCUGGUGAAAUAUAUAUAGACGUACUUAAUUCAUUGCUAAAUUAUAAAAGGAUGAAUGAUUGAAAGAACUAAGAGUUCUUUUCUCUCAAGAGAGAGAAUCCUCAGGGGAGUCUACGAGCAUGGCAUUGGUUGACAUUAAUUAGCUUCAAAGUUUCAGAAACCUUAUGCUCAUUGAAUUUAAUAACAGAGGCACUUCAAAGCAAAGUGCAAUCACCAGAGGGAAUAUAUAGAGCUACUCAUCAUAGUUUUUCACAUCUCCCAUGGUGAAAGCACCCCUGUUUUCCAGGAGAAAUAGAGCUUUGUGGGGUUCAGUUUCAUCUGCCAGUAUGUUAGAGAUUAGAGUCUGGAAGACAAAUCCAUGGCAUGUAUGGUGGCAGGCUCCCGGCAUGCCCUACAGCAUAAGUGAGGUAGUAUUAGCGGCUGAAGACCAUUCAGUGUACACUUUCUUCCAUCAAGAAAGGAAGCUUCUCUUCCUCCCUACUGACCAAAAAUAUAAAACCACACAGUUCAUUCUGUAUUCGAGUAUCUCUCCACAAUGACACAAAAUAUGUCAUAAUUUACUGCACUUAUUCUGGAUUAGAACUAGCUUGGUUUAAAUAAGAACAGCAUCACUUACUUGCUCUGUGAUCUUCCUUGGUUCACUUUGUAAAAUGGUGGCAUCUCUUUUGCUGUUGUUUUGUUCAAUUACAGAGAAAGUGAAAUAACUCGAUCUUGAUGAGGAACAUGCCUGGCACACAAAACCCU
ensembl:lncRNA